UACAGAGGUCUCAAGCGUUGUUCGGAAUCACUGGGCGUAAAGGGCGCGUAGGCGGCCAUUUAAGUCGGGGGUGAAAGCCUGUGGCUCAACCACAGAAUUGCCUUCGAUACUGGAUGGCUUGAGUUCGGUAGAGGUUGGUGGAACUGCGAGUGUAGAGGUGAAAUUCGUAGAUAUUCGCAAGAACACCGGUGGCGAAGGCGGCCAACUGGACCGACACUGACGCUGAGGCGCGAAAGCGUGGGGAGCAAACAGG
rnacentral:rRNA from 1 species